UCAGUCGACUCCUACGGGGAGGCAGCAUGGGGGGAAUACUUGCACAAUCGGGCGCAAGCCUGAUGCAGCCAUGCCGCGUGUGUGAAGAAGGCCUUCGGGUUGUAAAGCACUUUCAGUCGUGAGGAAGGUAGUGUAGUUAAUAGCUGCAUUAUUUGACGUUAGCGACAGAAGAAGCACCGGCUAACUCCGUGCCAGCAGCCGCGGUAAUACGGAGGGUGCGAGCGUUAAUCGGAAUUACUGGGCGUAAAGCGCAUGCAGGUGGUUUGUUAAGUCAGAUGUGAAAGCCCGGGGCUCAACCUCGGAAUUGCAUUUGAAACUGGCAGACUAGAGUACUGUAGAGGGGGGUAGGAAUUUCAGGUGUAGCGGUGAAAUGCGUAGAGAUCUGAAGGAAUACCGGUGGCGAAGGCGGCCCCCUGGACAGAUACUGACACUCAGAUGCGAAAGCGUGGGGAGCAAACAGGAUUAGAUACCCUGGUAG
rnacentral:rRNA from 1 species